UGCAUUCACUACUGUAAGUCACUCUGGAUAAGAGCGUCUGCUAAACGACUAAAA
rfam:Salmo salar isolate Sally breed double haploid chromosome ssa06, whole genome shotgun sequence.